UUUUCUUUUUAUGGCCACACCUGAGGCAUAUGGAAGUUCCCGGGAUAGGAAUCAAAUUGGAGCUAUAGCUGCAGGUCUAUGCCAUAGCCACACCGGAUCCGAGCUGCAUCUAUGACCUACACUGCAGCUCGUGGCAACACUGGAUACAUAACCCACUGAGCGAGGCCAGGGAUCAAACCUGCAUCCUCACAGACACUAUAUUGGGUUCUUAACCCACUGAGCCACAGCAGGAACUCCUAAAAAUUUUUUUUAAUUGAUGUAUAGUUUGAUUUACAGUGCUUUCAUUUCUGGUGUACAGCAAAGUGAUUCAGUUUAUGUAUAUAUAAUACAUAUACACUUUUCCAUAUUCUUUUUCACUAUAUUUUAUUACGGGACAUUGAAUAUAGUUCCCUGUGCUAUAUAGUAGGACUUUGUUAUUUAUCUGUUUUAAAUAUAGUAGUUUGUAUCUGUUAAUUCCAAACUCCUAAUUUAUCUCUCCCCUACCCACCUUUCCCCUUUGGUAACCAUAUACUUGUUUUCUAUGUCUAUGAGUUUAUUUCUGUUUUGUAAAUAAGUUCAUUUAUAUCAUAUUUUAGAUUCCACAUAUAAGUGAUAUUGUGUGGUAUUUGUCUUUCUCUUUCUGACUUCACUUAGUAUCAUACUAAGUCAUAAUCUCUAGGUCCAUCCAUGAUGCAGCAAAUGGGUUUUUUUAAAUCUUUUUUGUGGCUGAGUACUAUUCCAUUUUGUGUGUAUACCAUAUCUUUUUUUUUUUUUUUUUUUUUUUUGGCCACACUCAUGGCAUAUGGAAGUUCCCAGGCUAGAGGUUGAAUCUGAGCUAUAGCCUCCAACCUACAUCACAGCCACAGCAAUGUGGGAUCUGAGCUGUGUCUGCGACCCACACCACAGCUCAUGGCAAUGCUGGAUCCCUAACCUACUUAACAAGGCCAGGAAUCGAACCCUCACCCCUCAUGGAUACUAGUCAGGUUCAUUAACUAUUGAGCCAUGAGAGGAACUCAUAUAUACCACAUCCUCUUAAUCCAUUCAUCGGUCAAUGGACAUUUAGGUUGCUUCCAUGUCUUGGCUAUUAUAACUAGUGCUGCUGUGAACAUAGGGAGUGCCUAUCUUUUUGAAUCAUGGUUUUCUCCAGGUGUAUGCCCGAAAGUGGGGUUGCUGCAUCAUUGAGCAACUCCCUUUUUAGUUUUUAAGGAAUCUCUAUACCAUUUUCCAUCCUGGCAGCAUCCGUUUACACUCCCACCACCAAUGUAGGUGGGCUCCAAAGGAAUAAACUCUUGAUACAUACAAAACUGGAAUGACUCUCAAAGGCACUGCGCUGAGUAAAAGCAGCCAGUCCUAAGUGGUCACAGAGAAUCUCAUUUCUCGUACAUAACUUUCUUAAAAUGACAGUUAUAGAGACGGAGAACAUUUCUUAAUAGUUUUCAGGAGUUAGGGGUGUGGGAUCUGGUACUAUAGUUUUACAAGAUGUUACCACUGGAGAAAACUAAAGGGUUUAUUGCAUCUCUUAACACUGUAUGUGAAUCCCCAACUACCUAAAAAUAAAAAUAUCAAUGC
rnacentral:lncRNA from 1 species